GACGAACGCUGGCGGCGUGCCUAAUACAUGCAAGUAGAACGCUGAAGAGAGGAGCUUGCUCUUCUUGGAAGAGUUGCGAACGGGUGAGUAACGCGUAGGUAACCUGCCUUGUAGCGGGGGAUAACUAUUGGAAACGAUAGCUAAUACCGCAUAACAAUGGGUGACCCAUGUCAUUUAUUUGAAAGGGGCAAAUGCUCCACUACAAGAUGGACCUGCGUUGUAUUAGCUAGUAGGUGAGGUAACGGCUCACCUAGGCGACGAUACAUAGCCGACCUGAGAGGGUGAUCGGCCACACUGGGACUGAGACACGGCCCAGACUCCUACGGGAGGCAGCAGUAGGGAAUCUUCGGCAAUGGGGGCAACCCUGACCGAGCAACGCCGCGUGAGUGAAGAAGGUUUUCGGAUCGUAAAGCUCUGUUGUAAGUCAAGAACGAGUGUGAGAGUGGAAAGUUCACACUGUGACGGUAGCUACCA
rnacentral:rRNA from 1 species